CCCACUCCUUGUACCAACUCCUCUGUGUCAAAGACCACAGCAACUGAACAGGUUCCCUUUCAGCUAAAAGCAAUCGAUGCCUGGUUGGUACCUAUCCGGGCUAAUGGACCCACUUGGUUUGAAGAGCCACCAGCUUCUGAGGCUUGGGAUCCACAGGCCAGUGGAGGACAGGAACCGACCUCUUGGCUUGGUCCUGUCUGCUAGUAAUUGGGACACCCUCAGUUUACUUGGGCCAGGACUGGAGAUGAGUAUGUGUUUGUGUGUGUGAAGCAGUGUUCUUUUGGCCUUGGGCCAAAUGGGACAUCAAUUGGGGUUUUUUUGUGAGUGCAGUUGGUCCUAUAGCAUAGAACCACGCAUUUCCACGUAGGUGACUGACAGGCAGAUGACAUCACAAUAGUCCUGUCUGGGAUGUUUUAACUUUGAAAAGAUUCAGUUUACUUCCAAGUAGAGGAGAACAUUUUUUUGUUUUGUUUUGUUUUCUUUGUGAACACCCAGUUUCACCCUGCUCUGCUUCCGUAGGAAUUGAACAUCCAGUUGUGUUUUCCGUCUCUUGGGUCCUGCUAUACCUGCCCUGCCCUGUUCCCAGUUGAUUUCAUGCCACUGACAUUCAAGGCACCAGAGAGCCCAGCCUGGUUUUCAUUGCCCAUGGUCAUAGCUUCGUGAGCGUGGUUAUCACUGUUGUUUCUUUGUUUUUCUUUUCAAUUCAUUUCAUUUUUGCUGACCCCUUAAUUGUCAUCUUUCUUUCUUAGGUAGUCGUUCUGUGCUGUUGUUUUUUGUUUUAUCUUUCAUUCCCUUUCCCUCUGCAGUCAACACUCUGGCCUGGGAACUCCAGCAUCCUUCAAGCAAGCCAUUUCUGAAGAAGGUGAAAAGAAGCCACCACGAUCAUGACCUCCUCCUUCUCCUCCUCCUCUUCCUCUUCCCUUGCCCGGCCCCCUCCUGUGCGUGUGUUUCAGCCGACACCAGAGCCUGGAUUGUGGAAAAAUCCUCCAGCACAACUCAGCUCAGUGAAGUCUCAGCAAUGGCCUAAGUUUGUGCAAUAAGAAGAUUUUUUUUUUCUUUUUUAAAAAAUUCGUCAUAACUUUUUCUUUGAGAGUCUGUGAGAAAGCACCCAGGUCAGACUGGAAUUUGCUCUACAAUAGAAAUAACUGAACACAAACAAACUGAGAAAAAAAAAAGAGUUAACUAUUUUAUUUAUUUCAAUAUUUAAAAGAAAAAAAGUGCUGACAGUGCACAGUAUUUUUGUUUAAAUACCUUCUACAUCAAAAGUUAAAAGCAAUUUUGUGAAGACACGAAAUCAAAAGAGUAUUUACUGUAAAAUAAAGACUGCAUAUUAACUCUAAGGAAAAUACCCCACAUUUUUAAUAAGAAAAUAAAGAUCAACUCUGCUCUCUCAGGCUUUAAAAAAAAGCCAUUCAUGUAUGUCUUUAGGUACUUUUAUUUCUGCGAGUUGGAUGUGGUAAGUGAGGAGUGAUCAGUUUCCACCCACUUUUUCUUCAGAAGUCUGUUGAAAGUGUUGGUGACGUUAAGUGAUUUUGUGUUAAGGCUUGGCUGAAAUAAUUAGCCACCAUUCAGCAGUUUCCCUGCCCCGCUGCCACUCACCCCAGGCCAGCCCUAUUUAUCUGGUCGUGGAGAAACAGCCACCCGUCUCCUGCUUAUCAUAGCUGACGAGGCCUGGUUCAGAAAGGGAUUCCAUUUAGUGAUUGGAUAUUUUCUCUGCAAGUUCAACAGAUUUGAACAGAGACAACUUGGUUUAAAAUAAUGCAGUGAAGAAAAAAAAAACAACAGCAAAAACGAAGCAUUAGCUGAGAUGAUAUUAGUUCAGUCACAAUUCCUCAAGGGGGUUGGCCGAGGGAAUCUUCUACCCGGCUGGCUUCAGGGUCCUGAGAUUCUAGAGUUGUCCCUAAGGGCUAGGAAGGUCGACCCAAAUUGUGGAAACCUCAGUCAGUUGCUUGUGGUGGCUGAGGAGGAAGGCAAGUCUUCUAACAUGUCCUUUAAGUCCUGUGUGGAAGUGAGCGAUGUGGCCCAUGAAGUGGAAUUCGGCGUAGUGUCUGCAGCCUAGCCAAGGAGUCUGGUGGACUGGUAGGCCACUGGAGUCUACUUUAGUCUCCCCACUGGGCUGGUCUUCUACACGUUAACACUCUUGGGUUCCCCUUACUUGUAAACAGAGGCAUGACACCUCCCUACAACCUAACGCUGGAUAUUCUCAUUGGAAAGGUUCUUGGGUCACAGUGUUACUAGGAUGUUCCCCAACCUGAGAAUCUCUUUUAUCUUUGAAAGAGGAAGGUGGGAGGGCACCGACUUCCUGCCAGUUCAUUCAGGUUCCCCAUCAAGGCCAAUCCCUGGGGUGGGGCGGAUAGCACCCAGAGCGUCUUUGUAUCAUUUUGGAGCCCUUUUCUGUGACAUUUUCUCAGAGAAAAUGUCCCUUGUCAAAAUGCUACUAAUCUGACCUCCAGCCAACUCCCAAAGUUACCACAUGUGUAGAAUUGUGAUAAAGCUUUGCAUAAUGUAGGGUUUGUAUGAAGUUUGUGUAAGUUUCUGUUAAAUAAAAGUCUGUUUCCAAU
rnacentral:lncRNA from 1 species